UGUGUACUUGGCCAUCUGUCGCCCUGGGGUCAGGCUUCAUAAAAUGAAGGUCCCUGCCUCCUCAUACUCCAUACAGGUGCCCCUCUGGGUCCCCGGACAGCCACAAGAUUGGGACAACG